AAGCACUUAAGUGGGAAAAAACGUACAAUUUCACGAUUUCAUUAUUUUAUAAAAACACGGACGACGUUUUCUAUCAGAAAAAAUGAUUUAACCAAAAAAUUACAAGCUACCUUUUUUGUUGCCUUUUUGAUUUACUUUCUAACGGUAUGAUCGUCAAAACUUUUGAGCUUUUAAGGAAUUUUAAUUUUUGGGAGUUUUUUGCUGUAACUCGGUUAUAAAUACU